GACGAAGGGGGCUAGCGUUGUUCGGAAUUACUGGGCGUAAAGCGCACGUAGGCGGAUUGCUAAGUCAGGGGUGAAAUCCUGGAGCUCAACUCCAGAACUGCCUUUGAUACUGGCGAUCUUGAGUCCGGGAGAGGUGAGUGGAACUGCGAGUGUAGAGGUGAAAUUCGUAGAUAUUCGCAAGAACACCAGUGGCGAAGGCGGCUCACUGGCCCGGUACUGACGCUGAGGUGCGAAAGCGUGGGGAGCAAACAGG
rnacentral:rRNA from 1 species